AUUGAACGCUGGCGGCAGGCCUAACACAUGCAAGUCGAGCGAGCGGCGGACGGGUGAGUAAUGUAUGGGGACUGCCCGAUAGAGUGGGGUAACUACUUGAAACGGUGGCUAAUACCGCAUACUAUCGGAUAACCCAUAGGGGAUUAGUUAGUAGGUGAGGUACUGGCCCACCUAGGCGACGAUCCCUAGCUGGUCUGAGAGGAUGAUCAGCAACACUGGGACUAAGACACGGCCCAGACUCCUACGGAGGCAGCAGUGGGGAAUAUUGCACAAUGGGCACAAGCCGGAUGCAGCCAUGCCGCGUGUAUGAAGAAGGCCCUAGGGUUGUAAAGUACUUUCAGUCGGGAGGCGUUACCGACAGAAGAAGCACCGGCUAACUCCGUGCCAGCAGCCGCGGUAAUUC
rnacentral:rRNA from 1 species